rnacentral:rRNA from 1 species
GAGUUUGAUCAUGGCUCAGAGCGAACGCUGGCGGCAGGCCUAACACAUGCAAGUCGAACGAGCCUUCGGGCUAGUGGCGGACGGGUGAGUAACACGUGGGAACGUACCUUUAGGUUCGGAAUAACUCAGGGAAACUUGAGCUAAUACCGAAUGUGCCCUUCGGGGAAAGGAUUUAUCGCCUUUAGAGCGGCCCGCGUUAGAUUAGCUAGUUGGUGGGGUAAAGGGCCCACCAAGGCUACGAUCUAUAGCUGGUCUGAGAGGAUGAUCAGCCACAUUGGGACUGAGACACGGCCCAAACUCCUACGGGAGGCAGCAGUGGGGAAGUCUUGCGCAAUGGUCGAAAGACUGACGCAGCCAUGCCGCGUGAAUGAUGAAGGUCUUAGGAUUGUAAAAUUCUUUCAGCAGGGACGAUAAUGACGGUACCUGCAGAAGAAGCCCCGGCUAACUUCGUGCCAGCCGCCGCCGU